rnacentral:rRNA from 1 species
UUCCCCUCGUACCUUUUGCAUCAUGAUUUAGCCAGCAUACUCAAGCAAAGAGAACUUUAGUUUGACCCCCCGAAACUGCGUGAGCUACUCCAAGACAGCCUAUUAAUUAGGGCAAACCCGUCUCUGUGGCAAAAGAGUGGGGAGAGCUUUGAGUAGAGGUGAUAAACCUAUCGAACACAGUUAUAGCUGGUUGCCUGGGAACUGGAUUUAAGUUCAGCCUGUCGGCUUCUCCAUAAACCGACACAGUUAGUCAAAGGGGGUACAGCCCCUUUGAAACAGGACACAACCUUUUAAGGAGGAUAAAGAUCACAUUCAAUAAGGAAAGAUGUUUUAGUGGGCCUAAGAGCAGCCAUCCUGAUAAAAAGCGUUAAAGCUUAGACAUACGAUCCCGAUAAAAACAUCUUAAUCCCCUAUAUUGUACCAGGCCAUCCUAUGCCCCCAUAGGAGUGACUAUGCUAAUAUGAGUAAUAAGAGAGCCCUCUCUCCCUGCACACGUGUAAAUCGGAACGGACCUCCCACCGAGCCUUAACGGCCCCAACCAAAGAGGGAAAUGAAACACAAAACAAGAAAACCCCCCACCGUUAACCCAACACAGGUGUGCUCCCAAGGAAAGACUAAGAGAAGGAGAAGGAACUCGGCAAACAAGCCUCGCCUGUUUACCAAAAACAUCGCCUCUUGCACG